rnacentral:rRNA from 1 species
AUGCCGGCGAGUGGCGAACGGGUGAGUAAUGCAUCGGAACGUACCCAGUAGUGGGGGAUAACUUACCGAAAGGUAAGCUAAUACCGCAUACGCACUGAGGUGGAAAGCAGGGGACCGCAAGGCCUUGCGCUAUUGGAGCGGCCGAUGUCGGAUUAGCUAGUUGGUGGGGUAAAGGCCUACCAAAGCGACGAUCCGUAGCGGGUCUGAGAGGAUGAUCCGCCACACUGGAACUGAGACACGGUCCAGACUCCUACGGGAGGCAGCAGUGGGGAAUUUUGGACAAUGGGCGCAAGCCUGAUCCAGCCUUGCCGCGUGAGUGAAGAAGGCCUUCGGGUUGUAAAGCUCUUUCGGACGGGAAGAAAUCGUGGUGGCGAAUACCUGCCAUGGAUGACGGUACCGUAAGAAGAAGCACCGGCUAACUACGUGCCAGCAGCCGCGGUAAUACGUAGGGUGCGAGCGUUAAUCGGAAUUACUGGGCGUAAAGCGUGCGCAGGCGGUUUUGUAAGACAGCUGUGAAAUCCCCGGGCUUAACCUGGGAACUGCGGUUGUGACUGCAAGGCUAGAGUAUGGCAGAGGGGGGUGGAAUUCCACGUGUAGCAGUGAAAUGCGUAGAGAUGUGGAGGAACACCGAUGGCGAAGGCAGCCCCCUGGGCCAAUACUGACGCUCAUGCACGAAAGCGUGGGGAGCAAACAGGAUUAGAUACCCUGGUAGUCCACGCCCUAAACGAUGUCGACUAGUUGUUCGGAGAGGAGACUCUCUGAGUAACGCAGCUAACGCGUGAAGUCGACCGCCUGGGGAGU